rnacentral:rRNA from 1 species
UGUUUUCUCCCCGGUGAUUAAAAAUACGGCCGCGGUAUUUCGACCGUGCAAAGGUAGCAUAAUCAUUUGUUCUUUAAUUGGGGACUGGAAUGAAUGGAASUUUGAAGGCUUGGCUGUCUCUCCCCUGUGUUAGAAUUUGCUGUUCUUGUGAAGAAGCAAGGGUUUCCAAAAAAGACAAGAAGACCCUAUUAAGCUUGACUCCUGUGUGGUUUGUGUGUUGCGUUGCUCUUUGAGUAGCGGAGUGCGAUUGGGGGGUUUGGUUGGGGUGACUAAGGAAGAUAUGAUCUUCCUUCCUUUUUUAAACUUUUUGUUGUAUAUGGACCCGGUAUGUGCCGGUUGGUAGAAUUAGUUACUAUAGGGAUAACAGCGUAAUCCUCUCGGAGAGUUCUUAUUGAGGGGGGGGGUUGCGACCUCGAUGUUGACUUGCUUUUUCCUUUGCAAGGUGUAAAAGCUGUAAGGGUUGGCCUGUUCGGCCAUUAAAAUGGUACGUGAUCUGAGUUCAAACCGGAA